AACAUUUGUGUGUUUUAUACACAAAUUUACUACUUUUUUAUGAAAACAAAGAAGCCUACAUUUCCUCCUCAAGAAAGAUAUUCCUGAUUAAAAUUCCAAAAGAUUGUUUGAAGAAACCAAUCUCGAGCAAUGGAGGUCUUGAGAUUUGUGUCUUUGUGUGGAUCCCCAGAAGAACUAAGGAGUUUAGGAACUUCAGGCACUGCUGUUUCAUUUCUGACUCUUAAGAUAUGAUAUGAAUAAUUUUGCAAUUUAAGCUUCCAAGCUGCUAAUUUCAUCCUGCAUGGUUUCUCAGUGGUAGGGGGAAUUAGUGCCUUGUCAGAAGAAUGCUUUUAAAGAGUUGUCCCUUGAAAUAAUAUUUUUUAUUGUUUGUAUAGAAUUAUAGCUUACAGAUUCAAUAUAGUUCUGACAAGUUUCAUUAAAUAAUAAUGUACAAAUGUGAAGUGUAUUAACUCUGUUCAAUGCUUCUAUUAAAAGUAAAUAAUUUAGUAAAGCAAUUGAAAAUA